rnacentral:misc_RNA from 1 species
CCUCAUACUCCUCAUCAGUUGCAACUCUCUGAACAUCAGCAGCAGCAGCACUCUCUCUUGAAGCACCAAUUUCAUAAUCAUCCUCAAUGGGUUCAUUGCAAUUCUCAUCAUGACCCUCCUGAUAAUAAGCAAUACCAUCUUGUCCAUUGAGAGAUUCCACUCCAGAAUCCUCAUCUUCCUCUGCCAUUCCAGCUUCAUUUCUUUGCCACUCAUCAUUAUCACUGUCA